rnacentral:rRNA from 1 species
CAGUAGCCGCGGGAAUACGAAGGUCCCGAGCGUUGUUCGGAAUCACUGGGCGUAAAGGGAGCGUAGGCGGCGUGGUAAGUCAGAUGUGAAAUCCCGGGGCUCAACCCCGGAACUGCAUCCGAUACUGCCAUGCUAGAGGAUUGGAGAGGUAGCUGGAAUUCUUGGUGUAGCAGUGAAAUGCGUGGAGAUCAAGAGGAACACUCGUGGCGAAAGCGAGCUACUGGACAAUAACUGACGCUGAGGCUCGAAGGCCAGGGUAGCGAAAGGGAUUAGAUACCCCCGUAGUCCCUGUCUCUUAUAA